AAUUCGCCCUUUUGAUUACGUCCCUGCCCUUUGUACACACCGCCCGUCGCUGCCCGGGACUGAGUUGUUUCGAGAAAAGCGGAGACUGCUGCUCUGAGCGUUUUCGGACGAUCGUUGCGGCGAGAACCGCGUUAAUCGAAACGGCUUGAACCGGGCAAAAGUCAUAACAAGGUUUCCGUAGGUGAACCUGCGGAAGGAUCAUUAU
rnacentral:rRNA from 1 species